rnacentral:rRNA from 1 species
CCCGCUGAACUUAAGCAUAUCAAUAAGCGGAGGAAAAGAAACUAACAAGGAUUCCCCUAGUAACUGCGAGUGAAGCGGGAAGAGCUCAAAUUUAAAAUCUGGCGGUCUCGCGGCCGUCCGAGUUGUAAUCUGGAGAAGCGUUUUCCGCGUCGGACCGUGUACAAGUCUUCUGGAACGGAGCGUCGUAGAGGGUGAGAAUCCCGUCUCUGACACGGACAGCCGAUGCUUCAUGUGAUACGCUCUCGAAGAGUCGAGUUGUUUGGGAAUGCAGCUCUAAAUGGGUGGUAAAUUCCAUCUAAAGCUAAAUAUUGGCGAGAGACCGAUAGCGAACAAGUACCGUGAGGGAAAGAUGAAAAGAACUUUGGAAAGAGAGUUAAACAGUACGUGAAAUUGUUGAAAGGGAAACGCUUGAAGUCAGUCGCGUUGCCCAGAAAUCAACCUUGCUUUUGCUUGGUGUACUUUCUGGUUAACGGGUCAGCAUCAAUUUUGACCGGUGGAUAAAGGUCAGGGGAAUGUGGCAUCUUCGGAUGUGUUAUAGCCCUUGGUUGCAUACAUCGAUUGGGAUUGAGGAACUCAGCAUGCCGCAAGGCCGGGUUUUUAACCACGUACAUGCUUAGGAUGCUGGCAUAAUGGCUUUAAUCGACCCGUCUUGAAACACGG